CCUACGGGAGGCAGCAGUGAGGAAUAUUGGUCAAUGGGCGAGAGCCUGAACUAGCCAAGUCGCGUGAGGGAGUACUGCCCUAUGGGUUGUAAACCUCUUUUGUCGGGGAGCAAAAGCCGGACGUGUCCGGCUGUGGGAUUACCCGUAGAAAAAGCAUCGGCUAACCCCGUGCCAGCAGCCGCGGUAAUAGGGGGGGUGCGAGCGUUAUCCGGUUUUUUUGGGUUUAAAGGGUGCUCAGGCGGAUUUUUAAGUCAGCGGUCAAAUCGUGGGGGGAAACCCCAUCCAGCCGUUGAAACUGGGGAUCUAGAGUGUGCGAGAGGUAGGCGGAAUGCGUGGUGUAGCGGUGAAAUGCAUAGAUAUCACGCAGAACCCCGAUUGCGAAGGCAGCAUACCGGUGCACAACUGACGCUCAGGCACGAAAGCGUGGGUAUCGAACAGGAUUAGAUACCCGGGUAGUC
rnacentral:rRNA from 1 species